AUACUCUGGCUUCUCUUCAGAUCAUAUAAAUCUUUCACCUUUUACUAAAGAUUUCUGUGGAGAGGACCACUAAUUUUAGUACCUGA
rfam:Phalacrocorax carbo contig92079, whole genome shotgun sequence.